CACCUCUAGCAUUUCCAGUAUUAGAGGCACUGCCUGCCCAGUGACAUCUGUUUAAACGGCCGCGGUAUCCUAACCGUGCAAAGGUAGCAUAAUCACUUGUUCCCUAAAUAGGGACUUGUAUGAAUGGCCACACGAGGUUUUACUGUCUCUUACUUCCAAUCAGUGAAAUUGACCUUCCCGUGAAGAGGCGGGAAUGACUAAAUAAGACGAGAAGACCCUAUGGAGCUUUAAUUAACUGAUUCACAAAAAACAACACACAAACCUAACCUUCAGGGACAACAAAACUUUUGAUUGAAUCAGCAAUUUCGGUUGGGGUGACCUCGGAGAACAAAACAACCUCCGAGUGAUUUAAAUCCAGACUAACCAGUCAAAAUAUAUAAUCACUUAUUGAUCCAAACCAUUGAUCAACGGAACAAGUUACCCUAGGGAUAACAGCGCAAUCCUAUUCCAGAGUCCAUAUCGACAAUUAGGGUUUACGACCUCGAUGUUGGAUCAAGACAUCCUAAUGGUGCAACCGCUAUUAAGGGUUCGUUUGUUCAACGAUUAAAGUCUU
rnacentral:rRNA from 1 species